AAUAUGUGAGAAGUUAAUUUUAGAAUGCAGGCACCAAAACAUGAAACUGACAGUGUCUAGGUUUGUUAAUCAAGGGCCAUAACUCAGUAAAAAUCCUUG